GACCACCUCACAAAUUCAGAUAUGAGUCCAUAUGCAGUGAGAUCAUCACUUGACCUCCCCCUCCCAACAUAUGUGUAGUCUAGCUGAAGACCUUCUAUUUCUUGUUGUUGAAUAGGUCAGUGAAUGACAUCUGAUUUUCCUUGGCCAAACAUUCUUUCCUUGUAGAGAUUUGUAUUCCACCCCCAACUUAAUCCAAUUGAUUCUAAAAAGCACUAAACUAUAUUACCGUCCAAAUAGCAAGUGGUAAGUGUUUUUCCAACAAAAUUGUUAGCCUGCAAUUUUUAAAUAGAAAAAGCAGAUAAAAUAGGCAUUAAAUAAAUUCAGUAUACCUGAAUAGUAUUGCCACGUGGAUGUUUCCGAGCUCUUCACGUACACUUCUAAUUUGAAGAAGAAAUAAAGAUAAACUCAACAAGUGAAAUUAUUGAUCUCGAAAAAUGCUUCAAAAGAGAACAUAUUUGGAGUCAAGGAACUACAUAUGUGAAUUUGUAUAAAGAUUUACAAGAGUUAUAGGCCAUUUGAAUGAACAGAUGAAUAUAAAUGGUGCAUCCCUGAAUCCCUCAAAGAGCUACUGUUAUAUUGGAACAGAUGAGGCCUACAUAAAGCUGCAAAGCCCCUUUGGUACUCCAUACCAUAAUCAAAGUAGUGACCAAAACAUCCAUCAGACAACUUUUUUCACUAAACAAAAGACAUUAUAGAAUCUUGGGUAAAAAAUCACAAAGACGUCGUAAAAUUCUUGAUACGAAACCACUAAAGCAAAAGAAUAUAAAUUACAUUUGGAUCCAAAGACUGAAUUUGAUCCAAUGCAUCAUAAUGGAGUAUCAUUUUGUUUUUGAUUUUUUUUUUCAAGAAUGACUUCUUCUUCUUCACAUUCCCUUUUUUCCUGUGAAUGUGUUUGGGAUAAAGACAAAGAAACUUCCUUUUCAGAGGAUGAAAUAUCAUACGUUAAAGUUAAACAACACUGUACUAAAAGCUUACAUUAUUCAAGUUGAUUGCCUGUAUUGCUUGCAAAGAGCAUUUUUGGGUUCUGUGAGAGCAAAAAUAAGGAUCCACAAUUAAAAGGAAAAAUAGGAAGUAAGAAGCAAUAUGAAAUGUGAAAAGCAAAAGAGAACAUCAACUUCAAAUUUUCUCUUUCAUCUUCAUGCGGUCUAGAUAUUUUUUUUCUUUAUCCCGGUAGUCCAAAAAUCAUAAACAAAUAAUUUCUCAAGGCAUGCAAGUUGAACCUCAAAAAGACUCUUCAAGACACGUUUAAAUGAUGUUUUCCAAACACACACCCUCACACUUUUCAUUUCAUAAGUUUGUUGACUUCUCUAUCCAUGUAUAAACCUACUAUAGUAAGAUUUUACCAUUUAACUAGGUCAAGAUACUUAAAUCAGAUAUCUGAAUACUAAGCUACAAGUUCAAGAGUACUUCCGAUCUAGACUAUGAAUGCAAAGAAUCUGCAAAAAUGGAGGUUCAUUUGAAAAGGUUUGAUAAUGUAAUUGUUGGCAGGUGGCAGCAGCACCUCAAGCUCCAAAUCUAAAGGGGUAAAGAUGAUUUUACUGAUGUCAACAUGGAAAAAAAGAUCAAAGAAAAAUAGAAAAGGCAAAUAUUAGAAGAGGAUACCUUUAACAAAACAUAUUGAGUUUACUAGUCUUCCCUUCUUAAUGCCAGCUAACAGUCCAUGAUAGCACCUAAAAGCAAAACGAACAAACUCCCAAAGUUCCCCAUCCAAUCAAUCGUUCAAAACCACAUUUAAAAGUCGGGGGUGGUUCACUCUGGUUGGGCCAAUUUCAUUAGGACAUCAUCUCAACAAAUACUAUGAGGAUUCAUCAUAAUAUGACUAUUUUAAGGUUGGUCAUCAACCUCCUAAGCACAGUUGGAAUUCCCAAAAAGCUGAUUAAAUAAUGAAAACGUGAAACUAGAAACUACAUUGCAAAAAGGCAAAAAGAGUAGACAAAUCUGAACAAGAUGAUCCUUAUCCAGUGAAGAUAAACUCACUAAAACUGGAAACCGCCUCACAAAUCCAGAUAUGAGUCCAUAUGCAGUGAGAUCAUCACUUGACCUCCC
rnacentral:lncRNA from 1 species